rnacentral:misc_RNA from 1 species
AACGCACGAGACCUGCGGACCUGCGGAGGGAUCAUUAACGAGUUAGGGUCUUCCAGGCCCGACCUCCCAACCCUUUGUUUACUGAACCACUGUUGCUUCGGCGGGCCCGUCUUACGACCGCCGGAGGAUCGCUGAAAGGCGUGUCCUCUGGCCCGUGUCCGCCGAGAGCCAACCACUUAAAUUCUGUAUGAAUCGUGUCUUAUGUCUAAGUCUAUGAUUUAAAUGAAAAGCAAAACUUUC